AGAGACAGAAAGAUGGGAAAUGUUUAGGUAUGAGUUUCAAAAGAAGAAUACACAAUAAACUGGUUGUAAUUUCCUUUUGUGUAACGAUUUUAAUCUGUCUGGGGGAUUAUGUUCUUGUUGUGGUUGUUUCUGGAGAAUAUGUAACUUGUGGCUCUAAGGUAAUCCUUUUCUUACAGACAGGAUUUGUCUUCAGUGGUAUAAAAAGGCUAAGGAAAAAAGUUGGUUGGAACUUUGCUCUGUCCACCAAAUGCAUAUGUGUGUGUGUGUGUGUGUGUGUGUGUGUGUGUGUGUGUGUAGUUGUGAGAGCUUGCUUCAUCCACCAAGUGUGUGUGUGUUCCCUCAGUGAAAAGUUUGCUGAAUGGUCUACUGCCAACUCUAUGCCCUGCCUCAGUUUAUCCCGUGAUGUCAAAGCCUGCUUUUGACAGAUGACCAACUUCACAUAUUCCCUGAACUGGGUCCUGGAGUGGGAAUGGCCUUCCAGCCUCAACACAAGUUUUGUUGUUGUUUUUCCCAGCAAGCUGGGAGAAGAGGUAUUUGCAGAGUGGAUAGGUGGAAGGCUGGCUGUGUAGAGGGGCUAAGCCUUCUGUGCUGACCUGUGCCAUGAGGGAAGGGUAUUGCUGGUUUCACAGUCUCCCCGUGGGAAGCCUUGGGAUUUCAUUUACGACCAAGAUGAACCAUGGGGUGAUUUGAAGUCUGUUUAGUCAACAGAGCUGAUGCCAGCACAGGCUCUGUGAAUGUGUCACAGCUGGGCAUGUGUGGAAUGCUGCCCUUCUGGGGAACCAUGGAUAACGGUGACCAAUCAGCGGCCAUAGAUGUAGCAGGCUUGGGCAAUACAAGAGGAGGUGCUGAGGGUCAUGGAUGAGAAACUUGGGCCAAGGACACUCACUGCUCCCUAAGAGCCAUUCCAGUGCCUCUGGGACUGCUAAGUGGACUUUUUAAAUGUGGUUUAAUGUGGUUUCAGAAGUCAUCACUCAGGACUACAGGGUACCAAUGACAAGAAGGCAAACUUGAGGUCCUCAAGAGAGCCAGGAAGAACGUGAAAGGUAAAUGGGGAGAGAGACGUGGAAGGGAGAGAGAAGACAAGAUGUUAGCGGGAGACAAUGGUGAUGACCCUUCCAGCUAUAGCCCGUAACUCUCCAUGGCCAGCUGCUGCCCAUGGUGUCUCGGAGCCUCCUCAACAGCGCUGCAGGUGGGAAGGUCUGCAGCCCUGCGACUUGAAUCCCGGGCAAGCCAAGUCUCUGAGCUAGCUUGGUGUUUCUUUCUCUAACACAUGUGGCUAGCUUAAAGCACCUGUAAAGUGUCAACCCCACCCCCACCCCCACCCCCAAGCUCUGCGAAUUAGGGCUUUAUGACCCAUGGAUAGCUGAGCUCUCCAUAACCAAGACCAGGGACAGGGCUGGUCCAUGAUUCCCGCCUUGCUAUCUGGUUUGCUGAGAAUCUAGGGCUUUCUGCAGUUCACUCAGUGGAGUUGCCUAAGUUAAGGGCAAGAGAAUUUGGAGGGUGGGAAAGAUGACGGAAGGAAGGAGAGGAGGGGUGGAAGCAGGGUACUCACAGCAGGAAGAGAUGGGCACACUGAUGGCCAAGAUGACCCAGGCAAUAUCCAUCUUGCUCAGGCAGAUGGUGGCUCUGUGCUGGGGCUUGUCCCCUUCAGCCACAUGGGAGAUGUUGGCCACAGUUCCCGGCUUCCAGGUCCCCGCGGGGACCAGGCGGUUGAGGAAGUUGCCCGUGGCUGUAGACGGCACUGUGGAAAGCGGUCUGGGCCCCCUGUCGGUGGUUGUGGGGGAGGCCUCAGCCUCUUCCUUUGCUGGAGAAACAAUACUUUCUGAGACCCCAGAGGGCCAGGCUGGGGCCGGAGGGGUUGCAGAUGGUCCCUGAGGGAUGCCCGGGGGAGGGGCUGAGACACUGGCAUCGAAGGCAGCCUGGGUGGGCCCCGUGGCAGCCGUGAAGACCCUGGAGCUGGCAGACGUGGGUCUGUCAGUGUCAGGGGUGACAGCAAGCCAAGAGUCACUGUGGCUGGAGCUGUCUUGCACGUCACCAUGAGGGCUCCGAGAAGGCACUGGGGCGGGCUGUGUACUGUCAGGGGCACCUGAAGCUGCUGUGGCAUCUGGCUCCCCUCCUGGGCUGGUAAAUGUGGGGCCACUCCCCUGGUUGGCUCUGGUAAGGUCUGGCUUGUCCGUUGCAGGUACCAGGGAAGUUGUGGGGGGCACCCACGAGGUGCUUCUGGGUCCUGUAGCUGGAGAUACUGUCUGAGGCUGUGUCGAAGAGAAGUAGCCCCCGAGUGGGGUCCUGGGAGUGAGAGCAGAGGGGUCUGGCUCCACAGACCCCGUAAAGUUACCUUUGUAGAUUUGGAAUAUCUUCCCCAGAGGACGCUUCGGCCCCAGAUGUGUUGAGCUCUGAUUUCGUCCCCUCUGGCUUUCCUUCCUUGCUGAGUGGCCACCGGGUACAAGUGGGAAAGUGCGAGACGAGCCACCAGUCCCCUUCCUGGAAGAGCCUGGGGGCCUGGGGGGCCUACGAGUUGGGACCCGUGGGGACACUGUGGGGCGGGUGGUGGUUCCUGCUGGCUUUGUUGGCAGGGUGGUGGCGGCAGGGGCAUCAUCCCCUGGGGGGCGGCUCUCUGAGUGGGACGAUGUGGUUGCCAUGGCAGCUGGAGGGGAACCUGUGGGCAGAGGGCUUUCAGGAUGGGGGACGGCAGCUGUCACCAUCACUGUGGACACAGUGUCUGUGGGAGGGUGCCCUUCUGGAUGAGAUACUGUCGUUUCCAUAGUAGCUGCAGCCUGUGAUGAGCGGCCAUCAGGUUUAGGGCUCAGGGUCAUCACAGAGGAGAGUCUGGUAGGGCUGUGAGUUGCUGUCACCAUGGUGCCUGGGGGGCUGCCUGAGGGGAGGGUCUGCAGAGAUUCCCUGGGAGAUGGUCCCUGGACGGCGAGUACCAGUGCUUUGGUCAGUGCCAAGGUUAGGAGAAAGCCUGGAGGGGGGGAGAAAGGAGAGAGGUGAGGAACGAGUGUUGCUUGCAGAUAGACCCUCCUCACCGAGGACUUGAAGACAGCUCCAGGGAGGUAGGAAGGAUACCCGGAGCAUUCCUUAGGCCAUACUGGCACUAUGAGGUGCAAGAACCAAAUGUGCACCCGGGGAAAGUCUAUGAGGAGGCGGGGGGCGGGGAGUACUAUCAGGAUGGACAACAGCAUCAGCCAAUCCCAUCCUUUCCCCAGUUCCCCAGAAUGCAUCAGUCCUCUACCUUGGUGCAACGUCUUGGGAUGGGAAGGGGAGCCUGAGAGACUUCUCUUCUACAUCACCUGCCGCUGGGGAGUAGUCAAGGCUAGCCUGGCCACAGGAACUGUGAGUCACUAAGAACCAACUGAGGAAGGCUUGGGUGGGAGAGCUAAGAGUUCUUUUCUUGAACAACAACAAAGUGCCAAGGUUUAGACCCCUGCUCAUUUAAACCCGCUUGCCUCAUGCUUCCCUUCCUGGAACCCCAGAGCACAAACCCAGCAGCCUCUCAGCUCCGCAGAUGACCUUAAGGUAAGGCAGAGAUGCCCUGAGGUCACAAGAGUCUGAAGGGCAGAAGAGGGCACUGGCCCAGACAAGGGUGACCAGAUCUAGCUUCCUUAACUCUGUAGUAGAGUCUGGGAUAGAAAAUGCUACAUAAAUAAAGACCAUUGGCUACUGGAGGUUUGUCAUCAAGCGCUAUCCCUGUGGUUCCUUGUAUAGUUGAACUUGGGGGAAGCAUCAUUGGGGCUACUUGGUCUUUUUGGGUAGGAAGAGCACUUCUGAAUGAUAAAAAAAGGGGCGGCUGCAUAACAAUGUGUGUAGAUCAGUUUAUUGAGAGAAUGCAAAGGCAUAAUAAAAACCCAUUAAUUUGAAAGCAUUCUUAAAUACAAAUGGUUUUUAUAACCAUAGUGUCAUGUGCCGGUAACCCCCAUAUAUCACAGGCUGCAAGUCUGGCUGUUGCAGCAGCUGGGGGCCAGUGUGCCACUUUGUAGCAAGCGACCUAUUCACGGUUGUUACAACCAUACACCUUGUAGUUCAGCACCACAGGGGCGGUCCCUGGUGGUGGUAACCUUCAAAUGUUUGAGGUACAUUCUAUUACAAGUGGUCUCCCGAGUGUUAAGAGCUGUACGGGGCAGAGCCGGCCUCUGCUGCUGCUGGGUGGUGGGGAAUCUUACAGGGUCUGAUUCUGACUUCUCAGCACCUCCGUGUUUCUCCUCUCCUUUGUUAUUCUUGGACUUCUCUUCAGCCCCAGCUAGACCCCAAAGAGUGGGCAGGCAUCUGUCUGACAACUCUCAGGGCCUUCCUGGACUUCACCAUACUCUAGCAGGGCAAGAGGUGACACUGGUAUCAUGGGUAGGAUUCCUACAUGAAUUCUGGGAUGAGGAGCAAAGUUACUAGCAGUGGGAGUCCUGCUUGGGAGUCUGGUAGAAAAGGCAGGACCCCACUUAUGACUCUUGGUGUCUGGUGGAGCUGGUGAGACCCUGGUUAGCCUCCGGGAAACAGGGUGUGUGUGUGGGGGGGGGGGGACUCCAGAGUGCCUGGAGUAGCGCUCAGUGUGUAGUGGUUUUUGGAAUAACCCUUGGACCUAAUAUUCACAGCUAAGCCAAUGCUGGGAGGCUGAGGGACCUGGUUUUUAGCAGAGGCAACAGCACCUACUGUCUCUAUGGCCAGUGGCUGGCUCCCCGAAGCAAGCCAGUUUUCUACACUUCCAUUCACAAGUCAGCCCACACACUUGCAGUGCAUUCUGCCCAUUCAAGUCGGUCCUAAAUCACGCUUGCUUCCUCCCUAGCAACCACUUGACAGGGUGGAAAGUGAAAGCCCAGGAAGACAAGGGAACAUGUGUGCAGCCACACAGCCGCAGGAGCAUGCGCAACCAGCUUCUCUAAAGCAUAUGCUUUUCCUAGUUAACUGCUGCCAGAGAUGCAGGGCAGCCAGAGGCCUUUCAGCUAUACCCGCAGCAGAAGCCACUUUACUCCCGUCUGUAUAUGGUUGCUACUACUCCAGUCUCACAACCGUACACCUUGCGGCUCAGCACCACAGGCGUGGUCACUGGUGGUGGUAACCUUCAGUGUUUGAGGGACAUUCUGCUACAAGUUGGUUUCAUGAGUGUUAAGAGCAGAACUAUGCUCUCCCUCCGCCCUUUGCCCACCCCAUCCCGGAAUCUCAGAAUUUGACUGUUUUUUGAAGAGAGGCAUUCAAAAAGAUUCAAGUGAACAGAGGCUAGCAGGAUGAACCUUAACCCAAUUUGACUGGUCCCUUUCUGAGACGGCUCAUCAGGGUGAUGACGGGGACACAGAGGACCCUCUUGUGAGGGCAGAGAGGCAAGAGGGAGGAGGCUGGCAGUGAUGGGGAGAGAGGAGCCAAUCAAUGGCACCACAAGAAGCCAACCUUGGUACCACUUUGAUCUUAAGCUUCCAGCCUCCAGAAGCUUUGAGGAAGUGUGAGUAUCUGUGGGGUUUUAGCCCUCCAGGGAAUGCUAUUUUCUUACAGCAGCCCAGCAUUAGGCAUUUUGUAUUAGAACUCUUCUGGAAGGGGAGGGAUGGGGGAGUGGUUUACAAUGGGAGAUGAUCUGAGGGCCAGUCAAGGGGGCUGAGAUUGGUGAAACAGGGAAAGCUCAAUCUGAGGGCAGCUGUGAGCAGACAGAAAAUACCUCAGUCUUACUGGGAGCACCUCACAUGUGUCUUAAGGAGACUCCCUCCUAGCUGAGGGCUCAUCCUACCCCCUAUACCCUCUGGGUACCACAUGGCUGAGCUAGGGAGGUCUUCAGUACAGGGGCUGGCAGGAGAUAGCUAUGUCCAUUUGGUGGCUGCUGUAGUAGCUGGAGUCCCCCAGAGGAUUGCUGAGCUGGAACACAGAAUGUGUCCGGUACUCAGAGCCCUGGAGCCAAGGACAAUUAUAUUGUUUUGGCUUCAGAGUCAAGAACAGCAGAGUUUAGAGAGAAGCCAGCUAACCCCAGGGACACGCACACAGAGAGAAGGAGAGCCACUUGGGCUCCAGGACAAUGCCAACAGCCCUCUAGAACACAAAGGGUUUAAAACACUUAGAGAAAGAAAUCCCCCUGAUUCCCCACUAGGAGCCUGCAGGGGCUCGCUCAUCCCAGCCCGACCCCUUGGCCGGAGUUCCUGUGGCUUCUAGCUUGACACAUCCUUGUUGCUGCUGCUCUUCAGAUGCCUCAGAGGUUUUCCUCCUCUCUUCAGGCUGUGAAGCUACUUCUCCAUCACUUAACUUAGUUUCCAGCCUUUGCUACUAUAAAUGCUCCAAGUGUCUUCUGGAGUGCCAUGGUGUUCUAUGUUUUGGUUACCACAGUGCGGGGGCCCUAGAGUUCACCCUAAACCAACCUCUUCAUUGUAUAGGGAAGUGACCCAGGUGUGGUUGGUUUGACAGCUCUUAGAUGAUUGGAGGUGUGUGGUGUAGCUGUUUGCUCUGAACCAAAAUAUGCUGCCCUCAGACUCCUAAGACUGAGAACUCACGAAACUUGGAAAACUCUGUGGUGGCUUAAAACCUCCACAUUAUUCCUCCAGGUUAUGUAAGUCACAGAUGAUUGGAUGGGGAGAGGAGACUUUGAUAGAAUUGUCUACAAGCUUUGAGAGCCUGAGAGGACUGAAACAGGCUGGCUCCAUGACAGGCUUUAAACUGUCAGUUUGGGAGACUAGGCCUAAAUUUCUGUUUCCCAGAACUGGGCAAGUUAGUUAUUCGGAAAACCCACAAGUCAUGCUCAGCCAAUCAGAAGCUGCCCUGCCACCUGGCCUGAGGCAAGAGCCGGUGAGUCAGCAGCAGUUUCCAGGCUUCCCAGCAACAGUCUCCAGCCUCCCCCACUAACCCCAAUGGUUCUGGAAUGUCCCCAGAGCCCUAGCAAUCCCAAAGACUCCCAUAUCCCAAGAGCCAGCCAAUCAAGAUAAAGUCCUCUAAUCUGCUGUAAAUUGGGCCUGGGAGCUCACCUGGGUGUGUCCACCUUGGUCAGUGGUAGACCCUUGCAGGCUAUGAGUCUGGGGUGCCACUCUCGUCACUCUCUGGUGAUUGAUGGCCCCUUAGAAGCCACUGGCGUUCCUGACCAUACCAGAUCCUCAAGCUAGCUCGGUCUGGGUGGCAUCAUUCUUUGCUCUACUGCCACCGUACUCUGACUGGGGCAACUGUUUUUUGUUUUUUUCUUUUUUCUUUUGUUUCCCCAGUAAAAGUCACACAACAAGGAGAGGCGGCCUGAAUCACAGUCAUUAUUUUAAAAUAAAAAAGUUUCACUUGUAUCGUAAAAUAGCUCCAGAGUUGAACUGUCCAACCCCUUCCAGCCUUCCUUGUCACCUUGAGUAAGGAAACCAGAGGAGAGCUUACACCCUUCUACUUCACACAAAAGGUUGUUAGCCAGUGAAGGCUGUGAUGUACCCUGUCACAAGCAUGUGCGAGGCCUUCAACCAGGGGCUCCCCUAACACAUGCAAAUUUUCAUUCAAGGCCUUUUGUACUGGUCUACACACUCCCCUCCCCACAAUCUGGGGUGACUGCCUCUUUGCAUAGCAUUUGCAUGCAUUUGCAUAAGGUACUUGAGACUCUAACUCUAAAUAUGUAAGAGUCACUAAAACAAAAAUCUAGCUUGACAUGCCUAAAACGUAGAGCCAAAUUUUAAAAGAAACGUGUCAGGAUAAGUAUGUGGGGUGGGGGGCUGGGGUGGGUGCCCACAGACUGAUGGUGCCCAGAUGUCUUAGGAAGGCCUCCUCCUCCCUAAAAUCUCCAUGCUUGGGUCAUCUUCCCAAGGGAUGCAGAGGGCAUCUUCAAUAAGACACUGAACAUUCCUUGUACCGUACCCUGCUGGAAGAGCGAACCCUCGCAGGCACGUGGACAGGAGGUCCUCUUAGCUCCGUGCUGCAGCUGAUAGAUGGAAGCCAGCAGGCCCUGUCGAUGGCCACACAGCUUAGGAGCCCGGAUUUGGUAAAACCUGGCUCUAAUGACUGCAUUCCAACCUCUUUGAGUUAAUGUACCUCUUUUUUUUUUUUUAAUCAGUGCUGUCAAUGGAAGCCAGAGUCCUAGGCAGGCUUUACCACUGAGCCGCACUCCCCACCCUGAACUCCUCUGCUCGUCCCCCUCCACUCUACCCUCUGUCCCUAGGUUCUGCACAGCCAGAGGUUAUGAUCCCCCAUCUCUGGGAAUUCAUUUUCUAGGUUGAGUUUUUCCUCUCUUGCCUAAAAAUAAAUGGUAUGUUUAGGCUUGUACACACACAUUCGUUAUACUGAUAAUUUAUACUAACAAUUCCAUUUAAUUUCCUCAUUAUUUUAAAUGUCUUCUUAACUAGAUUCUCUGCCACAUCAGGGUGUUCUGUCUACUGGCUUUUUAAUCCUCUCUUAGGCAAUUACAGGAGGCUACAUCCCUUCACCAAGCAUAACUGCCUCAUGGAGCCCAGUCAUCGUUAAGAUUCAUGAACAAUGGCAGCGAAAAUAUCUUACUACAGUUUUAAGCCUCUUUACAAGCAUUUUUUUUUUUUAUUUCAUUUGAGAAAGGAUCUCAUUACGUAGCCCAUACUAGCCUUAAACUUCUGAUUCUCCUAAGUGCUGGAAUUUCUAAGCGUGUGCCACCACACCAUUUUGAAAAACUAAAACACAGUAUAAUGGUUUGAAGUGUUUGCCAAAGAUCACCAGUCAUUGACUUUUACUUCCAAAGCCACUGUGUUGGGGAUUUGGGACUUAAGGCUACAGGGAUGUAAUUUUAUUUAUGAGGGAGUGGGCUCCUUUUAAAACAUAUGUUGGGCCCUCUUUUCUCCUCUCCUCUUGCUCUUCUCCCAUAAGAUGGCAAAACCUGAGGAUCCUCCUGGACAAAAUUGUAGGUCACUGCCCAUGAAGAGAACGUGCUGAACUUCCUAAUUCCCAAGACUUUCUUCUAAUUGGGAAAGGAUGUCUGGACCAUUGACAUUUAAUCCCUCCAUCUGAUACAUGAGAAGACGAGGCCCUGCCCCCCCCCCCCCCACGUAAAAUGAUUUACAGUUAACCACAGCUAUACAGGGUCAGAUGGGGAAGCAGGUCAGGCCAGCACACUUCAUGACUAAUUCCACUGAUGUUCCCAAGUCCCCAGCUCUUUUUUAUACUCAGCUUCCAGAACUUUAAUGUGUUCUGCUCUUUGAACUCCAAUGACUCCUUUUUACUUUAAAGACCACAUAUAAUAAAUGCUAAUUCUUCAGAGCAUGGUUUUGCUUAGAAUUAAAUAGGCAUCACUGAGUUCAGGGGAUACUGCUCUGAAGCGGCAACCCAGGUCUCCUGACCUUGACUAAAGAGCUUGUAGCACAAAUCUUUUGCUGCUUCCCCCUCUCCAGGCAGCCACGCUCCACAAGCCCCCUCCCAUCAAGCUGGGUAUCCAUUCACAGGGUGGAUGGGCAGAAGUUCUGCUCAAGCCUCUGAACUAACUGGGGCCGUCACCUGGUGGCUUCCAGAAAUGUCCGGAGAUCACGGGUUCAACAGCCAGACUGAUGAGGUCCAUGACUCCACUGGGAACUGCUUCCCAGAACACAGUCUCUAGAACACAGGCAAGCAAGAAAACCACGUGAGUCGGGCCUGUGUGCCCCGACGCACCUGUGGCCAGUGUGUGUGUGUGUGUGUGUGUGUGUGUGUGUGUGUGUGUGUGUGUGUGUGCUCACAACCACAUGUUCAUGCCCUCUUUUGUUUCUCUUUCCCGGUUCCUCCUGACCUCAUGGCACACGGCAUAGUCCUUUUUCUUGGAACAAGAAACAGACAAGCAGGAUACAUUUUGUAGGUUGUGUUCCCCCUGCCCCCAAGAGCUCCAAGCUAUCAUAUGGUCAAACCAUUUGUCUAAGGUCUAAAGCAUGCCACAUAGCAGCUCUGGAUAAAAGCUCAGCUUUCUUUGAUCCUAGAUGCUCAAGAGAUCCUCAACACGGAGGGAGUUUUUGAUUCAGGAAAAGGUCCUUAUGAGCAGAGGAAUGUCAGAUAAAGACAACCUAGUUGUUGAGAAUAUAACCACUGUUACUGAUGACCAUAAUUUGAUACCCUAUAUUCCCAAAUGCAGCAACAUACGGGCAACUCUGUGCCUCUGGUUAUCAGCCUUAGUGACUGUGACUUAAUGCAGACAAAUGCCUUGUCUUAGAUGGCUUCUGAGCCUUGGAGACUUUGCUGGGAAUGUCCCAGGGGCUGGGGAGCAUGUAAUCUCCGAGCCAAGGCCUGGCCUACCUCCUAACUGCUCUGUCUGAAGCACCAGGGUUGGAUCGAUGCUUCAGGGUUACAGCCCUCCUACCCAGUUCAGCGUGACCUACCAUGAAUACUUACUGAGGGAGGAGACCCUCUGUCAUCCCUGUCUGAAGAAGAAUUUCUAUUUUCCACAAGUGACCACCACAGCACAUCUAAACCCACUCAUCUUCCUCAGAGUGACUUUGGCACUCCCACGGAGGUGGUCUUCGUUCCCUCCCCUGAGUAUGGUGUGACCAGUGACUAUGGCUGAAUGACUUCUGAGACUAAACAUGAAGGGUGUGGUCUCUUUCCUGUGUUCUUGGGGUACUUACUCUUAGAGGCCAGCGAGCAUUCUGUCUGGAAACCUGAACAACCUAGAAAGAGGGACUGUGUGCGUAGAAGGGAACAGAACCUGGCCUUCAGAGCUAGCGAACAGUCAAGCACCACAUGCUGGUUCAGUGGGGAAGAGGAUGUCAGAACCUUACCAAGCCACCCGGCUAAACCUUUGGCAGAGACAAAUGACCCUCUUUUCAAACUCCGGUUUUAUGAAUGGAAUAAAGGAUGAAUAUAGUUUCUGUCCUAAGUUUAAGAAUGGCUCGCCAGGAACCGUAGGGUGUAAAAUACACCCUACAUAGUAUUCAGCAAUCGUCCUGGGUUUCAUCAUGGGGGUGAGGGAGGGGGAGAGACAGGCUUUAAAUGUUUUCCUGCAGCUCUAUGAUUUCUGUGAUACAGUGUCUCCCCUACAAAGAAGAGAGCAAGCACACAGUAAGAGUGUUACAAAGCUCCUACUAUGUGGGACAGAAGAAAGCUGGAGGCAACUGGUUCCUGCAAAGGCUCUGUUCUAGAAGGGAGGAAAAUGAGAGGGAACUUGUACCAGCAAGCAAAAGGGUCCCUCGAAGACUCAACAGACACAGUGAGAGUUGGAAUCAGAUGGAUGAAAAGGUCAAGGCAGCCUCUGAUGAGAUAACACGGUCCUCAACAUUCAGGGGACGGCUUGUUGUCAUCAGGAGAGAGAACGGGUUCUGAUGGCCUCUGACUCUGUUAACAGGAGGGGGUUCUGGGGAAUGCGGAGGCUAGGGUAGUGUCAGUGGGAGGAAGGAUACAUGGUCAGAGUUUCAGUUACAGAGGAAAAGCCCUGCAGACCUACUGUGCACUGUAGCAACUACAGUGAAUGACAUGUGCUGCACUUCAAAAUGACCCAAAGGAAGCCUUGAAAUCCUGGGUGUGCUGGGACACACCUCUAGUCCCAGCACUUGGGAGGCUCAGGCAGGAGGUGGUGAGGUGGAGGCCUGUUUAGGUUACAGAGAAACUAUGUCAAAAAUAAAUGAAUUUUUAAAUGUUUUCACCACAGGGAAAGUAUAAAUUUCCAAGUCAGUCAAAAAUAAAGACAGCCAGGCAUGGUGGUGCACACCUUUAAUCCCUGUACUCAGGAGGCAGAGGCAGGUGGAUUUCUAAGUUCAAAAACAGCCUGGUCUACAGAGGGAAUUCCAGGACAGCCAGGGCCACAUAGAGAAAACCUGUCUCAAAUGUCCUCCCAACCCCAUAAAAAAGACUUCAAAGAAAAUGGUCUGAUGGAGCUCAGAGCUGGGAUGCUUCAGCCACGCAAUCAAAGCCAACACUGGCCAGGUUAGAGUCAUGAGGACAGCUUAUACAUUGACAGGAAACGGCACCUUACCUUCCCAGUUCGCUCCCUUAGGCCUGUAAUCCCAGUGUGAUUAUAAAACACCACCACCAGAAAAGGUCCCAAGCUGAAUGCUUUACAAACCUCUGGCCAGUACUCCUUGGGACUGACAGGGCUGGGGCAGGGAGAUGGCUUGGUGGUAAGCCUGGUAACCUAGUUCCACCUUUGGAACCCACAUAAGAAGAGAACCAACUCCAUAAAGUUGCCCUCUGAUGUCCAUGUGUGUGCCUCAUCCAUAUUUGUGUAUACAGUAACACACACACACACACACACACACACACACACACACACACACACACACACGGGGUUGGGGGGAGAGAAGCCCAUCACGUUUCUCAGGACCUGAUAGUCGUGAAGACCUAAUGUAGUUUGUGGGGUCCAGGGUAAGCUGGAAUGGAGAAAGGACUUUAGGCAGAAUCGAGGGCACUGUGAUAACAGUGAUAUGUAAUGAUUACCGUAAGGAAGCACAUUGUUUUAUUAACCGUGACAAAUAUUCCAUGGUAUAGGAGAUGUAGAAAUAAAAGGCCAAAAAAAUAAAAGCAAUGUCUCAACCCUUUAACCAUCAGACCAUGUCUGCAAGGCCCUUGACCCCAGUGACCUAUGAGCGAUACAGCCUAAUUCAGGGUGAGCCAUGGCACCCUGCCUAAAGGGCCAAUUUCAAGGAAAAAAAAAAUCUGCUGUUAAGCUGAGUACUUACUGAAACGGAGAGAUGUCCAGUUCUAUCCAGACGUGACCCCACAUAGGUGUCUCAAGAGACAUCGUCAAGGACUCCCCAACUUCUGUGAAAGACUCCUGCCUCCACCUUACCCUGUGCAAACCCCUCCCUGGCAACCUGCAUGCUGCUUUCUUGUGCAUUUCAUACAUACCAUUAGUUAAUCCUUUCACUGCCUGUCACUGGCCUUCUGGAUAUUGUUCUGUGCCUUAGGAGACUGGAUACAAAGACCUAGGAGCCUCACUACCAUCUCCCCAGAUCCGAUAUAAAUUCAAAAUUAUUCUCAAAGAGACACAUUGAAAAUGGCUAGUGGACAUCGGACAGGGGACAUAGCUGAGGAAAAGGUUUGUGAUCAACUUUCUCAGCAACCUGGGGUGAGAUCUUGUGUUUACCAGUGGGCCAGAUGGAAGAAAGGGGCUGAGACUCCCCCUUGACCUAUCGCUGGCUUCUAGAAAGAAAUGGAAGCUGGCUUUUACUUUGUCUAUGGCUACUGCUGUAUAUCCCAUAAUUUCCAACUCCCUGUCUAACAACCGAAGUGUGAUGUUUGGAGGUGAAAUGGUCAGCAUGAAGAGUUUGGAUGCAGUUCUUCUUUUUUUUUUUUGGAGCUGAGGACCGAACCCAGGGCCUUGCGCUUGCUAGGUAAGCGCUCUACCACUGAGCUAAAUCCCCAACCCCUUGGAUGCAGUUCUAUGUGAGUGUUUUACCUGCAUGUAUUAUAUGUGUACCACAUUCGGACCCGAUGCCUAGGGAGACCAAAAGAGGGCAUCAGAUCCCCUUAAUGGUUGGAAACUGCCACAUGGGUGCCAGGCACCUAAUCCAAAUGCUUUUCACUGCUGACUCAACUCUCCAGUCCCCCUGGACACACAGUUUAAAAGCUCACUUCAAUUCCAACUGAGCAUGCAGGGUAAAUGCUACUAUGAACAAAACCUCAUCUUGACCAAGAAAGCAGACUUGGAAUGCACAGCUUACUCAGUCCACACAGCAAGGUUGCCUUGGUUCUCAGAGGCUGUGUGGGGGUAACAUGGUGCAUUGUCUCCUCAGACCCACUCUACUAUCCUGGUACUGUCAGUAGUGUUCAACCCCAAAAGUAGGUUUGAUCGUCAUCACUUUGUCCCAAAGAAAGUAGGGCAUCUCAUCUUGCAGCACGGAAACAGUACACCCGAGUCCAGAGCUCUGGGGUACCCUGCUCCCAUACUCACUGUGAUAGCUGGUUGUGGGCCUCAGGCAAAGGAGGCCAGCGGCGGAAGUCAGCUGCUUUUCUUAACCACAGUGAAGACAACAGUGUCUAACUGGAGUGCUUUCUGCAGCAGAUUGGGAAACGAGGAAGCACGGAGAGCCCCACACAGGGCCUGAAUUCACACAGGGGACUCGAAUUCUGAACUGAGGCUCUGGUGGCCAGGGAUCUGUGCCACUUUCUGCCCUCUCACAUGAGCACAUUGCUCUUGAAAGCACGAGAGAAUGAAGAGGUUAAGCAGACCCACCGGUCUGAGCUACUAGCAGUUGAUUGCUGGGAUGGUUAGUUAACUGUCAACUUGACAUAACCAUCUAGAAUCAAGGGGAAGAGAGUCUAGUCUUGGCGAGGGAUUGUGUAGACCAGGUUGGCCCAGGUGUGGGUGUGGGGGGAUUAUCCUGACUAUGCUAACUCAUGUGGGAAGACCACACCUACCAGUGGGCAGUGUUACUCCCUGGGGGUGGGUCUUGGGCUGGAGAAGGAAGCUCCUCAUCCCAGGACCUCGUUUAUGCUUCACGCUGGCUGUGAGAGUCAGGACGCUCCAACACAGUUGAUGACAUGGGCCUUACUCUCAGAGCUGGUGUGAGCUUUCUGUGCUCAGGGCUUUCCUGUCAACCUGGUGCAUACUGGAGUCAGUAGAGGAGGAAGGCCCCGAUCACUGUGGGUGGAGCCACCCCCGGGGCAGGUGGUCGUGGGUGCUAUAAGAAAGCAGCAGGCUCAGUGGGCCAUGGGGACCAAGCCAGUAGGCAACUUUCCUCCUGUGUCUAGCGCUUCAGUUCUUGCUUCCAGGUUCCUGGCCUGUUUGAGUUCCUCUUCUGACCUCACUUAGCGAGGGACUCUGAUGCGGAACCACAGCUGAAAUAGACUCUUCCCUCUUUAGUCGCUUUUGGUCCUGGUGCCUAUCACAGCAAUAGAAACCCUGACUAAGAUAGUGUCCUAGAGGGGGUUGGGGAUUUAGCUCAGCGGUAGAGCGCUUGCCUAGCGAGUGCAAGGUCCUGGGUUCGGUCCCCAGCUCCAAAAAACAGAAAAAAGAAGAAGAAGAAGAAGAAAAAAAGAUAGUGUCCUAGAGACACCUCGAACAAGAAUAUUAAAA